UACGUAGGGUGCGAGCGUUGUCCGGAUUUAUUGGGCGUAAAGAGCUCGUAGGCGGUUUGUCGCGUCGGCCGUGAAAUCUCCACGCUUAACGUGGAGCGUGCGGUCGAUACGGGCAGACUUGAGUUCGGUAGGGGAGACUGGAAUUCCUGGUGUAGCGGUGGAAUGCGCAGAUAUCAGGAGGAACACCGGUGGCGAAGGCGGGAUCCUGGGCCAGUACUGACGCUGAGGAGCGAAAGCGUGGGGAGCGAACCGG
rnacentral:rRNA from 1 species